rnacentral:tRNA from 1 species
CAUUAGAUGACUGAAAGG